CAAGGAAUUUUCCGCAAUGGGCGCAAGCCUGACGGAGCAACGCCGCGUGCAGGAUGACGGCUUUCGGGUUGUAAACUGCUUUUGGGGGGGAUGAUGAUGACAGUACCCCCCGAACAAGCCCCGGCUAACUACGUGCCAGCAGCCGCGGUAAUACGUAGGGGGCAAGCGUUGUCCGGACUUACUGGGCGUAAAGCGCGCGCAGGCGGACGUGUAUGUGCCGUGUGAAAGCGCCGGACUAAUCCCGGCGAGGUCAUGGUAGACAGCACGUCUGGAGUCUCAGAGAGGUCGAUGGAAUUCCGGGUGGAGCGGUGAAAUGCGUAGAUAUCCGGAGGAACACCAGGGGCGAAAGCGGUCGACUGGCUGAGUACUGACGCUGAGGCGCGAAGGCGUGGGGAGCAAACCGG
rnacentral:rRNA from 1 species